CAUUUUGAUGCUCUGCUAACCUGCGAUUAUAUAUUGUAAAAAAGAGGUUACUAUUUAUAUUCAGCGAAGAAAUAAUCUUGAAAGUUGCUAGCAAGGUUAGGAUGCAAAUGCAUUCAAUAUAUCAGCGAUACAAACUACUAUGUCAUCAAGUUUCUGAAAAACGAAAUUAGUGAAGUCUGAUAAAGUGAAUAUUUAAAUAAGUUUGCAGUAAAAGGAGAAGAAAUAUCAUUAAAGAUGUUGCUAAAACGUUAGCUUGUAGAGUUCAAUAGUUUCUUGUCGAAAUUGUAUAAGCCAAAAACAAUGUUUUAAAUCGAAUAACUAUGAGGAUAAUGAUAAAAAUGAAAAUACGACUUCAUGGAAGAAGGAGAAUCUAUUUGAAAGACUGAUUUUGAUAGAAAGAUUAUUAAGGCUUAUCUCCCAGACAAUACCAUUGAUUAACUAUUAGAAUAUUGUGGUCAAGCCAUACGAUACAAUAAACAUAACCUAAAUAUUAUGAAAAGAGCUAUAUGUACAAGUCUUUCAUAUAAUAUCUGUGGACGACAAAAUUUUCUUCAAGCGAUUGGUGUAAAUGUAAAAUAGUUGGAGCAGAGCUUUAUUUACAAAAAUUCUUUACCCCAGUCUGUUGCAUUGACUGUAAGGCCAUUUUAAAGAAAUUUGAUAUAUUCAGAUGUAUUGAAGAAAUGUCUCGCAAAGAAAACAAUGUAAAUGAUUCUUUCAAUAACGUGUGAACAAGUGUACCAAAGAAUGUAUUUGUGGAAUCUCAUUCAUUGAAGCUUGGUUUAUAUGAAGCAGUUGUUAUAUUUACUACUGGUAAUGCAUGCAGAUUGGAAGAGCUAAGAGGUAAAACGGCUGUUGAGAAAAGGAGCAAGUUGAUAAAGCAGAGCUACAAGCCUAGAUACUAUCUAAAAAAGCAAGAUUUUUGGAAAGAUGAAAGAGAAUUCAUUUAGAUAAUACAAAAGAAGAUAAACAUUAUGCUGAUGGAUGGUUUUGACUGCUGUUUCUACUAAAAAGAUAAAUAUCAAGAUCUCUCUCCGUGGGUUGAUAGAGAAAGAAUUAGUUUACAUGUUUUAAGAAAAUCGAGACGAAAUAAGAAAUCGAGUCAAACAGAGUAUUCGACAAGUCCAUCGAAAGAAUCGUCGAGGAUUUAAUAGACGAAGAAAACCAGCUAUACCUUAUAUUAUUGUUCAUUUUGUUACCAUCAAGAGAACGCGAUCUAGGUGUAGAUUGAAGUUUACGUCUCAAUAUCUUCAUUCUUACCGAAUUACAAAACAUAUUAUGGAAUGAUCGCUACAUUGUUGAAAAAGUGGGCGUUCAUGAAGGUCCCUACGAGACAUCCACUGCGGCUAAAUAUAUUAAACGCUGGGUGAACAAUAUGAAUGAAUUGACAACGAACGAGGACAUCGAAAAUAUCUAAGGACAGAUAUUAGCGCAGAAUGGCUGAAUGCACGAAAAAUUUAGUUUAAGGAAUGUUUUAUUCAAUUUAACAAGCAACAACGUGUGUACAAUUAGCAGAUUUACAAGCUUUCUUAAGAAAGUAAUAAUUUUUCCGAAACGUUUGUAAAUCGCGUCCUCUUAACCGAGUUCCUUCCGAAAACAGAAGACAACACGUUGUUUUAUAUCAAAUUCUCUCAGUACUUAGUUACUACUCGUUACUAUUUUCUUCGAGUUUAUUUCGAACUCAUCUAAGCCCUCGUAUAUAUCCUCCAUCUCUAUAGUUGUCGUCCUGACAACUAAAAUCUUCGCUUUCUUGCAAGAUUCCUCGUAUUCCGAAGUUUUUGGUUGCAACCGACACGAGAUCUUCAUAAAUCAAAGUGGGACCCAUCUCUUGACUUUCUUUCCGGAAGGAAAUUCUCCUUCUAGGCGCUUUCUUGUUGUAGGUUACAGUAUCAUAGACAUGAAAAGGACUAAAGAUUACCAUGAGUCUAUCCCAUCUGAUAGCUGACCUGGUAUUCAUCUGAAGCAUACACUCACUCCCUAUGGAAGAAAAAUCACAGUUUAAAAACAACCCCGAAAGAUUGACUAUUUUAAGCGUAGAUCUCUUUUUUUUCCUCUUCUUUCAUUCUCGGAUUGCUCCUGGGUUAUACUCUUCCUUUCUUCAAGCAUUUCCUUCACUCAACCCAAACUUUGCGUCUUCACUGAAACGUUUACUAGAACGGAAAUUAUAUCCGAUAGAAUUUUCUUAGUACAUGUUCUUUUAUUAAAACAACUUUUCUUUCUUUUUUGAACAUUGAUAUGAAAUAUUUAGUUCAUGACCUCCUUAAUGCCUGCAUCCUCGGAAUAUUCUAACUCGUCCAUCUAUGAAAUAUCUAACAGUUAAAUGCUACGUAGGCCAUCUGAGUUCGAAUGGACGAUUUUAUUUCUUUUUCUCAUAGAGAAUAUCACAUCAUUGAUUUUCCUUGAAAUUUUGUAUAUAAAAUUCUUUUAAACUUUUUUUUAUUUUACUUAGCUUUUUUAAUUCCUUCUGUGCUUUUCCCUUCCUACGUUGAGGGCUAUAAUAACCCUCAUAAUAAUAAGUUUAAAUAACUACACUUUUUUGAACUUUAAAAUUCUCCUUCUCGAUCAUAUUAAACGUUUAUCUUACAGGAUUUAAUUUCCAUUUGCUCUCACGAUUCUGUGAAUUUCAUCUAAUUUUAUCGUAAACAUCGAUCCAUAAGCAUAAGGUAUACAUAUAUACUAUAAGAAAGAGGAUUUCCAUAUCAGAUGGACAACCCUGAAGAAGAUCCAAUGAUAUUAUUAAAUUUCUUGCAAUAAGUAUUUCCGCUGGAGACAAUCCAGUCUUCUUAUGUUUUCCAGAUCUAUAGAUCCUCAAACAUAACGGAAUCCACCGAUCCCAAUUAUUUCGAUCUUGAGUUAAGAAUUUCUCUUAGUAAUUUAUUAUCGUCCUAUGCUGACGUUCAACUUGACCGUCUGACUAUAAAUAUAAUAUUGUUAUCUUAGUUUAUCGGAUUACUAAUUUUCUUAAAUAACUUAGAUACAACAUUUCUAUUCUGAUCAGUAUGUAAUUCUCGAGGUAUUCAGUGUAUAGAAACAAUUUGCUCAUGUAGCAAUAAUAUAAUAGUGAAUUAAUCAACUACUGUUUUAAAACUUACAACUACUAUUUUCGUCAUAAAAUUCCUAAGGGGAGAUACUUCUAACCAUUUACUGGAAUAAUCUAUUACUACCAGAAAAAAUCUAUUUACUCAUGAAGACUUUGGAAAAAGAUCUAAAAUACUCAUUUGCCUUCGUUCAAAAGGCAUUCCGUAUACGUUGUAAAUCAGCAUCUCACUCUUUCCUUUUCUUGUUGGAUCUUUUCUGGCAAUGCAAACUCUACAUGUUUUGCACUAAUCUUUUAUCUCCUAUUUAUAGGAUAAUAUCUUUCCAAUAAUAUCUUUUCCGAAUUCUCUGCGAAGUUUUAUUUACGAUAUUUGUCUAGAAAGUAUCCGACUUUUGCUUUAAUCUUGUACCUGGAUAGGCUAUUGUUAAAAAUAGGUCAUUAUUUAGGGGAAAUUUUGAUAAGAGCCUCUGUCAGGUAAUCUUCGAGUCUUCGAUUAAUAACGAUAUGCUGUUGAGUAAACGUUGAAUUUCGUACUCGUCGCAUUUCAUGAUGACUGAACGCAUCGAAGAAAUAAUGUGCAUUAAAUUUUGCCAAAAACUUGACGAUUCGUGUU